rnacentral:tRNA from 1 species
GGUCUCGUAGCUCAAUGGUUAGAGCAUCGGUCUUAUAUGGCGCAGGUUGAGGGUUCAACCCCCUCCGAGACCA